rnacentral:misc_RNA from 1 species
GGAUGUUAUGAGGCAUUGCUUGAGUGGGAGGUUUCCUUCCGUUUCGCUCUUUAAGGAUUAUCAGAAUGCGGCUAUGGCGAUAUUGGAGAAAUCUGAUUACACUAUGAUUUCUGGGAAUCCUUUCAUUAAAAAGUCAGGUUGGAGAAAGAUAUCAUGUUACUUCAAUCUUUCUUAUGAAAUCAAAGACAAGACCAUUGAAUUCGAUGAUAACCGAAAUGUUCUGCGGGCUGAGU